rnacentral:rRNA from 1 species
CCAAAGGCAAAGCGUUCCUCGAGAAAAGUCUAAAAAGACGUGUAUUAACCUACGAUGUAAACUCUUCCUUUUAGGUCCACUUUCUUCUUUCUUCUUAACCUCCUGUCUAAUAUCAAUAUACAAAAAGUAGCGGCAAAUACAAAGAUCUAGACCAUAUAAACUUGUAUAAUUAUACCAAACGUUAUCCACACCCUGGUCUUAUAUACGCACCCUGU